AUGGUCCGAGAUGCGCAAUAUCUUCGGGGGGAUAGCAUCUUGGAUGAUGAAGAAAGCAUUCUCGUUGAAUUGGUUAUCUGCGGCUUCUCUAGUGGUGAAGUUGCUUCAGUCAUGCGGAUAAAAACCUUCUUCAAUGAUUCUCCAAAGGUUAGUAUUAACAUGGUUCAAAUGACGCUUAAAGCGAAAAACCCAAGAAUCAAAGUCCUCAUUUUUCACAAUCUUAGGGGGAGGACCGGCAUGAUUCAAAUGAGUGGAAGGAAUCGGUCCACCAUAAGUAAGUGGAGGUUCCACAUGGGCAAAGAUGUCGUUGCCAAUUUUACCACUAGAAGAAGGAGCCUUUUCACUAGUAGCUCCCCCCUUGUCGGAGUUAGCAUCCGUCACCUUCUUAGUGGGAUCACCCACUUUCAUUGA
rnacentral:rRNA from 1 species